UGAUAGCCUUGCAGGAGACGUUGGGCAUU
rnacentral:piRNA from 1 species